AUCAAGUGUAUCUUCACAUAAGGGUCUAAAGGAGAGAAGAAGAGGAGAGGGGAUUCAUGGCAGAGCAACAGACCCACAGCCUGGCACCGAUACGGUUUUUGGCCUCCAAGAUUACCACUGUCAGCUUCCCUGCAGUUGGCACGUACCUCAAGGACAAACACACAUCUCCAAGCCGCUCACUCUAAUAGAAAGAAAGUAGGCUUUUUUCAAGUUCAACUCCUCUCCCCUUGUGACAGUGUGCUCCCACCUCCUCCUUCUCUGCCUUCUGCAGAUCUCUCCACUCCUUCAGAGACUGGCUGAAGUCCACACUGCUCAUCGGGAUCUUUAUAGCUCCUAUAGCAUCGUGUUUUGAGAAGCGGUCAAAGUCGUACACGGUCAUCACUAGUGUUUUACCGCCCAGCUCAGUGUACGGAACCUGCAGAGCACAGUCUUUUUGAAAACACAUCAUGUGCCAGCUGGUAUUAUGCCCCAGUAAGGAUGAACAACUCAACUUGUAUUCGUCUGUUUAUUUACCUUGAAUGUAAAAGUCU